UCCGAGUUGACCCCUAUUAGAGGGCGGUCGCAGGAUGUCAAACCCUGGUAAGGUUCUGCGCGUUGCGUCGAAUUAAACCACAUGCUCCACCGCUUGUGCGGGCCCCCGUCAAUUCCUUUGAGUUUCAACCUUGCGGCCGUACUCCCCAGGCGGAUUGCUUAAUGCGUUAGCUGCGCCACUGAACAGCAAGCUGCCCAACGGCUAGCAAUCAUCGUUUACGGCGUGGACUAC
rnacentral:misc_RNA from 1 species